rnacentral:lncRNA from 1 species
CCUCUAAAAUCUGGACAAAGAUAAUCGAUUAUGUACUUAUGAUAAUCGAUUAUGUUAAGGCAGCUGCAAGAUAAUCGAUUGUGUACCUUAUGAUAAUCGAUUGUGUUGAGGUAGUGUCCAUUAGAUUUUUCAAAGCUGCAAGACAAUCGAUUGUGUACUAUAUGAUAAUCGAUUGUGUUGAGGCAGUGUCCAUCAGAUUUUUCAAAGCUACAAAAUAAUCGAUUGUGCACCUUAUGACAAUCGAUUGUGUUGAGGCAGUGUCUAUUCAGUUUUUCAAGACUGUAAUAUAAUCGAUUAUACAUAUAGCAUAAUCGAUUAUGUAAAUGACCG